UGGGGAACCUGCCCCAUAGUCUGGGAUACCACUUGGAAACAGGUGCUAAUACCGGAUAAGAAAGCAGAUCGCAUGAUCAGCUUUUAAAAGGCGGCGUAAGCUGUCGCUAUGGGAUGGCCCCGCGGUGCAUUAGCUAGUUGGUAAGGUAAAGGCUUACCAAGGCGAUGAUGCAUAGCCGAGUUGAGAGACUGAUCGGCCACAUUGGGACUGAGACACGGCCCAAACUCCUACGGGAGGCAGCAGUG
rnacentral:rRNA from 1 species